rnacentral:rRNA from 1 species
UACGAAGGGGGCGAGCGUUGUUCGGAUUUACUGGGCGUAAAGGGCGCGCAGGCGGCUCAUUUUGUCAGGCGUGAAAGCCCCGGGCUUAACCUGGGAACUGCGUUUGAUACGGAUGGGCUAGAGUUCGGGAGAGGAGAGUGGAAUUCCCAGUGUAGAGGUGAAAUUCGUAGAUAUUGGGAAGAACACCGGUGGCGAAGGCGGCUCUCUGGGCCAUUACUGACGCUGAGGAGCGAAAGCGUGGGGAGCGAACAGG